AGUGAACGCUGGCGGUAGGCCUAACACAUGCAAGUCGAACGGCAGCACAGUAAGAGCUUGCUCUUACGGGUGGCGAGUGGCGGACGGGUGAGGAAUACAUCGGAAUCUACCUUUUCGUGGGGGAUAACGUAGGGAAACUUACGCUAAUACCGCAUACGACCUACGGGUGAAAGCAGGGGAUAUUCGGACCUUGCGCGAUUGAAUGAGCCGAUGUCGGAUUAGCUAGUUGGCGGGGUAAAGGCCCACCAAGGCGACGAUCCGUAGCUGGUCUGAGAGGAUGAUCAGCCACACUGGAACUGAGACACGGUCCAGACUCCUACGGGAGGCAGCAGUGGGGAAUAUUGGACAAUGGGCGCAAGCCUGAUCCAGCCAUACCGCGUGGGUGAAGAAGGCCUUCGGGUUGUAAAGCCCUUUUGUUGGGAAAGAAAAGCAGCAGGUUAAUACCCCGCUGUUCUGGCGGUACCCAAAGAAUAAGCACCGGCUAACUUCGUG
rnacentral:rRNA from 1 species